rnacentral:rRNA from 1 species
GACGAACGCUGGCGGCGUGCCUAAUACAUGCAAGUAGAACGCUGAAGGAGGAGCUUGCUUCUCUGGAUGAGUUGCGAACGGGUGAGUAACGCGUAGGUAACCUGCCUGGUAGCGGGGGAUAACUAUUGGAAACGAUAGCUAAUACCGCAUAAGAGUAGAUGUUGCAUGACAUUUGCUUAAAAGGUGCACUUGCAUCACUACCAGAUGGACCUGCGUUGUAUUAGCUAGUUGGUGGGGUAACGGCUCACCAAGGCGACGAUACAUAGCCGACCUGAGAGGGUGAUCGGCCACACUGGGACUGAGACACGGCCCAGACUCCUACGGGAGGCAGCAGUAGGGAAUCUUCGGCAAUGGACGGAAGUCUGACCGAGCAACGCCGCGUGAGUGAAGAAGGUUUUCGGAUCGUAAAGCUCUGUUGUAAGAGAAGAACGAGUGUGAGAGUGGAAAGUUCACACUGUGACGGUAUCUUACCAGAAAGGGACGGCUAACUACGUGCCAGCAGCCGCGGUAAUACGUAGGUCCCGAGCGUUGUCCGGAUUUAUUGGGCGUAAAGCGAGCGCAGGCGGUUAGAUAAGUCUGAAGUUAAAGGCUGUGGCUUACCCGUAGUAGGCUUUGGAAACUGUUUAACUUGAGUGCCAGAGGGGAGAGUGGGAUUCCAUGUGUAGCGGUGAAAUGCGUAGAUAUAUGGAAGAACACCGGUGGCGAAAGCGGCUCUCUGGCUUGUAACUGACGCUGAAGCUCGAAAGCGUGGGGAGCAACCAGGAUUAGAUACCCUGGUAGUCCACGCUGUAAACGAUGAGUACUAGGUGUUAGACCCUUUCCGGGGUUUAGUGCCGUAGCUAACGCAUUAAGCACUCCGCCCGGGGAGUACGACCGCAAGGUUGAAACUCAAAGGAAUUGACGGGGGCCCGCACAAGCGGUGGAGCAUGUGGUUAAUCCGAAGCAACGCGAAGAACCUUACCAGAUCUUGACAUCCCUCUGACCGCUCUAGAGAUAGAGUUUUCCUUCGGGACAGAGGUGACAGGUGGUGCAUGGUUGUCGUCAGCUCGUGUCGUGAGAUGUUGGGUUAAGUCCCGCAACGAGCGCAACCCCUAUUGUUAGUUGCCAUCAUUCAGUUGGGCACUCUAGCGAGACUGCCGGUAAUAAACCGGAGGAAGGUGGGGAUGACGUCAAAUCAUCAUGCCCCUUAUGACCUGGGCUACACACGUGCUACAAUGGCUGGUACAACGAGUCGCAAGCCGGUGACGGCAAGCUAAUCUCUUAAAGCCAGUCUCAGUUCGGAUUGUAGGCUGCAACUCGCCUACAUGAAGUCGGAAUCGCUAGUAAUCGCGGAUCAGCACGCCGCGGUGAAUACGUUCCCGGGCCU